rnacentral:rRNA from 1 species
CAUAGGUUAAUGAGGCGAACCGGGGGAACUGAAACAUCUAAGUACCCCGAGGAAAAGAAAUCAACCGAGAUUCCCCCAGUAGCGGCGAGCGAACGGGGAGCAGCCCAGAGCCUGAAUCAGUGUGUGUGUUAGUGGAAGCGUCUGGAAAGGCGCGCGAUACAGGGUGACAGCCCCGUACACAAAAAUGCACAUGCUGUGAGCUCGAUGAGUAGGGCGGGACACGUGGUAUCCUGUCUGAAUAUGGGGGGACCAUCCUCCAAGGCUAAAUACUCCUGACUGACCGAUAGUGAACCAGUACCGUGAGGGAAAGGCGAAAAGAACCCCGGCGAGGGGAGUGAAAAAGAACCUGAAACCGUGUACGUACAAGCAGUGGGAGCACGCUUAGGCGUGUGACUGCGUACCUUUUGUAUAAUGGGUCAGCGACUUAUAUUCUGUAGCAAGGUUAACCGAAUAGGGGAGCCGAAGGGAAACCGAGUCUUAACUGGGCGUUAAGUUGCAGGGUAUAGACCCGAAACCCGGUGAUCUAGCCAUGGGCAGGUUGAAGGUUGGGUAACACUAACUGGAGGACCGAACCGACUAAUGUUGAAAAAUUAGCGGAUGACUUGUGGCUGGGGGUGAAAGGCCAAUCAAACCGGGAGAUAGCUGGUUCUCCCCGAAAGCUAUUUAGGUAGCGCCUCGUGAAUUCAUCUCCGGGGGUAGAGCACUGUUUCGGCAAGGGGGUCAUCCCGACUUACCAACCCGAUGCAAACUGCGAAUACCGGAGAAUGUUAUCACGGGAGACACACGGCGGGUGCUAACGUCCGUCGUGAAGAGGGAAACAACCCAGACCGCCAGCUAAGGUCCCAAAGUCAUGGUUAAGUGGGAAACGAUGUGGGAAGGCCCAGACAGCCAGGAUGUUGGCUUAGAAGCAGCCAUCAUUUAAAGAAAGCGUAAUAGCUCACUGGUCGAGUCGGCCUGCGCGGAAGAUGUAACGGGGCUAAACCAUGCACCGAAGCUGCGGCAGCGACGCUUAUGCGUUGUUGGGUAGGGGAGCGUUCUGUAAGCCUGUGAAGGUGUGCUGUGAGGCAUGCUGGAGGUAUCAGAAGUGCGAAUGCUGACAUAAGUAACGAUAAAGCGGGUGAAAAGCCCGCUCGCCGGAAGACCAAGGGUUCCUGUCCAACGUUAAUCGGGGCAGGGUGAGUCGACCCCUAAGGCGAGGCCGAAAGGCGUAGUCGAUGGGAAACAGGUUAAUAUUCCUGUACUUGGUGUUACUGCGAAGGGGGGACGGAGAAGGCUAUGUUGGCCGGGCGACGGUUGUCCCGGUUUAAGCGUGUAGGCUGGUUUUCCAGGCAAAUCCGGAAAAUCAAGGCUGAGGCGUGAUGACGAGGCACUACGGUGCUGAAGCAACAAAUGCCCUGCUUCCAGGAAAAGCCUCUAAGCAUCAGGUAACAUCAAAUCGUACCCCAAACCGACACAGGUGGUCAGGUAGAGAAUACCAAGGCGCUUGAGAGAACUCGGGUGAAGGAACUAGGCAAAAUGGUGCCGUAACUUCGGGAGAAGGCACGCUGAUAUGUAGGUGAAGUCCCUCGCGGAUGGAGCUGAAAUCAGUCGAAGAUACCAGCUGGCUGCAACUGUUUAUUAAAAACACAGCACUGUGCAAACACGAAAGUGGACGUAUACGGUGUGACGCCUGCCCGGUGCCGGAAGGUUAAUUGAUGGGGUCAGCGCAAGCGAAGCUCUUGAUCGAAGCCCCGGUAAACGGCGGCCGUAACUAUAACGGUCCUAAGGUAGCGAAAUUCCUUGUCGGGUAAGUUCCGACCUGCACGAAUGGCGUAAUGAUGGCCAGGCUGUCUCCACCCGAGACUCAGUGAAAUUGAACUCGCUGUGAAGAUGCAGUGUACCCGCGGCAAGACGGAAAGACCCCGUGAACCUUUACUAUAGCUUGACACUGAACAUUGAGCCUUGAUGUGUAGGAUAGGUGGGAGGCUUAGAAGUGUGGACGCCAGUCUGCAUGGAGCCGACCUUGAAAUACCACCCUUUAAUGUUUGAUGUUCUAACGUUGACCCGUAAUC